AAAAUAAAAAUAUUGUUUGUUUCCCCUCGCCCGACCGAGUCUGAAAAUUCACACCGACCCAUAAGUUUUUAUUACGCCAUUCUGGUGAAGUUUUUUUUUUUAAUUUUAAGAAAAUUUCAAGGUCGUUUCUGGUGCAGAUCAGUAUUUUAUAAUGACAAAAAUUUUCUAUAUCUUCUUUGGUUUCGAUCCAAAAUAAAAAAAAUAAUAAUACGAAUACAGGAGGUGUUCUGGUCCGAAAUCUAGAAAUUUCGCCGCCUCCAGCUGGAGGCAGCAUUCUCUGGCUGAUUUCAAAUACUUACAAGCCGAAUUCAAUUUUAAGCUCAUAACUAAUCAAUAAAACGAUUCUUCUUGUACUUACUAAUAUCGAUUUUAUGGGUUCUUUCAUCACAUAAACAGUCUCUUGAAAACAUUUUAUCAAACUGUCGAGCUUUGUUUUGAGUCACGAGACUCGUUUGCUCAAAUGGCAGUGAAAAUUCGGUUGACUACAACUGUUGGUUUCUGUUUAAUAUCGAAUUUUGGAUUGAUAUUUUCUUUUAAUCGAUAUUAAUAAGUACAAGAAUCAUGAUUGUUUUAUUGAUUAGUUACAAGUGAGUUUAACAUUGAAUUCGGCUCGCAAUUCGGACUAGUGAUCUGCAAGAUCGAGAUGGAGAAAUGUUGUCUAUACGAGGAGCGAGGAAACAAGAGAAUUCGGGGCAUCCAGUGUGCAAGUUGUGUUCUUCAGUAGGGGAAAGUGCUGAUAUUUCGGACGGAUGCGAUAUUUUUGACAGUCAAUCAGAAGCAUUCUGAAUUUAACUUAUUUCUGAACUAAUGCUAUAUUUACAAACUGGAAAACACCUAAUUAUAUGCACAUUUGUAACUCAGCUCUGAUUGGUUGAUGUCAUCAUCCAUUUUGUUUGAUCGGCAAAAUCAAGUCCCGUUGAAACGUUUUCUGGUAAACUAGAUCUACCGAUAUCAUUUAAAAAUAUAAUCAAAAUCACUAUCAUAUACAAAUUAAGAUAAUGUGCAAAAAACAAAAGAAUAAAAUGUCAGUGAACCAUAAAUAAAAGACAGCAACCGAGUUUACCAAUUUUAUAACACCAUGUGUCCAAAACUAACACCAUUGUCCAUAGUUGCAACAUUCUCCCUAACUUUAUUUAAGUGUUAGUAUGUGGCAUAAAUAGCAGAGAAAAUUCUGAUGAAACCCAAUGUUCGUCGAAUCAACCAAUAUGUAUACAUGUAGUCCAAUGCCUAAGUUUAGUGGUUAGAUAAUGAGCAUUUCCAAAAUACAUGAAGUACUGUCCAAAAUAUCGACACCUUCCCUAAUUGCAAAACGUGGCAAUCAAAGCAGAAUUUACGCGAGAACUGACUAUACGAGUUUGAUGAGGAAACAUGGAUGAUGUGAUUCACGACGUUUGGUAUCGGGCAUUGUUAAUGGUUAUGGGAAUUUCAUAAUAAAUAAAAUUCUGCUAGCUAAAAAAAACAAAAAACUUUUUACUUACCUACCGACCUUCCUCUGAAAUUUAGGGUCGGGAGAGGGGAAACAAACAUAUUUUUAAAUGUGGCCCAAGGGACUUCUGGGAUGAUCCUCAGUUAAAGGUUCAGAUUUAGCUCGGAUUAUUCUGUGCUCUUUAGUCAUUGGACCUUGCAGUAUGAGCCAGAGCACUGCGCUCGCUAUUAGUAUGCAAGUAGCUGCAUUUAAUUCAAAUUGAAGUUGAACACAAGGACCCCAGGGGUAGGGUGGGGGCAGAAUAUGGAAUCAGAGUUUUAUAUGGUAAUAUGCAGAAAAUUUAUUAAAACAAAGACUUUUCAAGAGUAGCAGGGCCACACUAAAUCAUAUCCAAAUGCAAAUGUCCCCAAGUUGUGUGAAAACAAGGUUUUUUUAUGACCCUGACUAAGGAUGGGGUGGAAUUGUUUUUGUCCUGUCUGUCUGAAAUUUUAACCUUCCUCAUAACUUUUAAAUAAUGAGCAAUGGGGCUCUCAUAUUUGCAUUCUUUUUUAUAGCCAUAAAGUCUUUCACCUCGUGACCUUGACAUUAGAGUUUCAUCUACUGACCGGUUUAGCUUUCUGGACCUUAAAAGAUGUUGACACCCUGCUGAUGGAGCAGAUCCUAUUUCUUAGAAGCAGAAAGCAGUUCUCUUACCAUCAGAUCUGAUCCAUUUUUGGAGAUAGCCUUUUGUAUGGAGCUGGGUAACGGUUACUGGAGACAUGCUGUUGAUUGAUGAGGAUAAUUUUCCUGAGACUCUGACAUAUUGCAGGACCUGGAUAGCUCUACUGGUGUUCAAA